rnacentral:rRNA from 1 species
AUGGGCGCAAGCCUGAUCUAGCCAUGCCGCGUGUGUGAUGAAGGCCUUAGGGUCGUAAAGCACUUUCGCCAGGGAUGAUAAUGACAGUACCUGGUAAAGAAACCCCGGCUAACUCCGUGCCAGCAGCCGCGGUAAUACGGAGGGGGUUAGCGUUGUUCGGAAUUACUGGGCGUAAAGCGUACGUAGGCGGAUCAGAAAGUAGGGGGUGAAAUCCCAGGGCUCAACCCUGGAACUGCCUCCUAAACUCCUGGUCUUGAGUUCGAGAGAGGUGAGUGG